CUGGUAUGCACUGGUAUUAUUGAUUUCUACCUUCUGACGAACCAUGAUGUCAUUAAUUUGGUGUCAUGGGGAAUCAGGACUGUUACUUUGAAAAAAUUAGAGUGUUUAAAGCAAGCACACGCUUGAAUACAUUAGCAUGGAAUAAUGAAAUAGGACGUUUGACCCUAUUUUGUUGGUUUCUAGGAUCGACGUAAUGAUUAAUAGGGAUAGUUGGGGGCAUUAGUAUUCAAUUGUCAGAGGUGAAAUUCUUGGAUUUAUUGAAGACUAACUACUGCGAAAGCAUUUGCCAAGGAUGUUUUCAUUAAUCAAGAACGAAAGUUAGGGGAUCGAAGACGAUCAGAUACCGUCGUAGUCUUAACCAUAAACUAUGCCGACUAGGGAUCGGAUGAUGUUAAUUUUUUAAUGACUCAUUCGGCGCCUUACG
rnacentral:rRNA from 1 species